rnacentral:rRNA from 1 species
CCUACGGGUGGUGCCAGCGUUGUUCGGACUUAUUGGGCGUAAAGAGCGUGUAGGCGGCUGAAUAAGUCAGAUGUGAAAUCCCUGGGCUUAACCCAGGAAGUGCAUUUGAAACUAUUCAGCUUGAGUAGGGGAGAGGAAAGUGGAAUUCCUGGUGUAGAGGUGAAAUUCGUAGAUAUCAGGAGGAACACCGGUGGCGAAGGCGACUUUCUGGCCCUAUACUGACGCUGAGACGCGAGAGCGUGGGUAGCAAACA